AGGAUCGAGGAAGAUCGAUCAUGGCCUCGGUCACUCGUCGCUGUUACGCAGUCGUGAGUUUAUGUCGAGCAUUUAGUGAGUCAAUGACAGCCGUUCGAGGCAUUCAUCGAGCGGAUUCGUGCGCGAUCUUUCCAUCUCUUUCCAACUUCUUCUCUCUCUUUCUAUCUCUAUCUAUCUAUCCCUCCUUCUUUUUCUUUCUUUGAACGAUCAUCGAGAACGAGAUGCUCGUGGUGUUCCGUGGUGAGUCAGUGAGAUCACGUGCCAACGUGCUAAAUAUAAUUGACACUACGAAAGCGAUCUAUGUACGUUCGAGGUAUCGAAGCGAAUAUGCGUUCGAUUUUUUUCUUCUCUCUCUUUCUCUUUCUCUCUCUUUUUUUUUUCUUUCUCGAUCCGAUCGAGCAUCGAAUCGACUCGUGUACGUAGUUCGUCAUAGUCAAUCAUUUUCUCGUUCUCGAAGAAUUUAUCUCGUCUGGAGUUUUAUUCAUACAUGUAAUAUAUAUUUACUUUGUGUCAUUAUGUAUAUGUGCAAUACAGAGUAAGUACCUUCGGGGAAAAAGAAAAAAAAAAAAGAAAUGAGAAGGCGCGAGGGAAAAGCUGUGUCGUUCGAGAUUGACUUUGCGUGGGUGCCUUAACAAAAGCAACCUCGAGUGACGUCCACGUGUAAUAUGACCCAUCGGGAAAAUGGCUAAUAUUUUCCAACUUGCUGAAUGUUUUAUCUCGAAAGAAUAUUUUAUUAAAAAAAUGACCCACAAAAAUGUGCAAGACAGAAAAAAGAGAGAGAGAGAGAGAGAGAGAGAGAGAGAGAGAG